rnacentral:pre_miRNA from 1 species
AGUUCUUCAGUGGCAAGCUUUACGUCCUGUCCCAGCUAAAGCUGCCAGUUGAAGAACUGU